rfam:Picea glauca, whole genome shotgun sequence.
GGGUGCGAUCAUACCAGCAUUAAUGCACUAGAUCCCAUCAGAACUCCGCAGUUAAGUGUUCUUGGGCUAGAGUAGUACUAGGAUGGGUGACCUCCCUGGAAGUACUAUUGUUGAACCCU